UCGUGCGGGAGGCCUACACAUGCAGUCGAACGGUAACAUUUCUAGCUUGCUAGAAGAUGACGAGUGGCGGACGGGUGAGUAAUGCUUGGGAACUUGCCUUUGCGAGGGGGAUAACAGUUGGAAACGACUGCUAAUACCGCAUAAUGUCUUCGGACCAAACGGGGCUUAGGCUCCGGCGCAAAGAGAGGCCCAAGUGAGAUUAGCUAGUUGGUAAGGUAACGGCUUACCAAGGCGACGAUCUCUAGCUGUUCUGAGAGGAAGAUCAGCCACACUGGGACUGAGACACGGCCCAGACUCCUACGGGAGGCAGCAGUGGGGAAUAUUGCACAAUGGGGGAAACCCUGAUGCAGCCAUGCCGCGUGUGUGAAGAAGGCCUUCGGGUUGUAAAGCACUUUCAGUUGUGAGGAAAAGUUAGUAGUUAAUACCUGCUAGCCGUGACGUUAACAACAGAAGAAGCACCGGCUAACUCCGUGCCAGCAGCCGCGGUAAU
rnacentral:rRNA from 1 species